rnacentral:tRNA from 1 species
UAGCUCAGUCGGUAGAGUGCAAGGCUUUUAACCUUGAGGUUGUGGGUUCGAGCCCCAC